ACUAGAAGUAGCUUCGCCAACCCGCAAGGGRGGCUGGUUCCUAAGGUAUGGUCAGUGAUUGGGGUGAAGUCGUAACAAGGUAGCUGUAGGUGAACCUGCAGAAGGAUCA
rnacentral:rRNA from 1 species